AUGAUUGACAAGUGGCAGAGGAUUUUUUUAAGGAAAGAGAAAAAAAUAACACAACAUAUAUGGAUUAGAAAAACAGAAAAGAAAAUCCUCUUCAUUCUUAUGCGAAUCAUCUCUCUUUGCUGCCUCUACAUCUUUAAUCUUUUUCUUCUAAAAAAAACCUCCCUUUUCCAUCUUCCAUCAAUCUUGCCUCAAAAUCUGCAAAGACAAAUAACACCUCCAAGAUCUAUGAUUCAAACAUGGGCAACAUACCUACGACGACCGCGUAUGUGA